CUGUGGGCCCUGGCAUAUCACCUCUGGCAAGACUUGUACACCAAGAACAGUAGGAAGUGCAUGCUUUGGAGAUGGCAACUGCCAAGGCAUCAGUCCUAAUGCUCAAUGUGUGGAUGGAUUGUGCCAAAAUUCUGUUGCAAUCAUAACCUCUGGAUUGCUGUCUGCAGUGCUCCCAAUUGUGUUAGCAGUGCUGUACUAGCAGAGACACACCUAAAGCAAUGGCAGCCCAUGAGCAGGCAAGGAAGAACAUAGAAAACCAUAGAAGGAUGAGAGCCCGAUCAAAAUAGACUAUAAUAUGAAAUAAGUUCACUAAUUAUUCUUUGAAUUCAAUGUACAAAGUACAGAAGGAUAAAAGUCUGAUCGAAAUAGGAGAAAAUAUCAACCAAUCUACUAACAAUUACUUUUCAAAUGUAUAUAGUUUCAGUUCUUAGUAAUU